UACGAAGGGGGCUAGCGUUGCUCGGAAUCACUGGGCGUAAAGGGUGCGUAGGCGGGUCUUUAAGUCAGGGGUGAAAUCCUGGAGCUCAACUCCAGAACUGCCUUUGAUACUGAAGAUCUUGAGUCCGGGAGAGGUGAGUGGAACUGCGAGUGUAGAGGUGAAAUUCGUAGAUAUUCGCAAGAACACCAGUGGCGAAGGCGGCUCACUGGCCCGGUACUGACGCUGAGAGACGAAAGCUAGGGGAGCGAAUGGG
rnacentral:rRNA from 1 species